rnacentral:rRNA from 1 species
GAUUAACGCUGGCGGCGUGCCUAACACAUGCAAGUCGAACGGACCUUAAUUUGCGAGAAUCUCACACUAGUGAGGGGUUCCCGCAAAAUUAUGGUUAGUGGCGGACGGGUGAGUAACACGUUGGUACCUGCCCUAAAGUGGGGGAUAACUCCGGGAAACCGGAGCUAAUACCGCAUAUGAUCUACGGAUCAAAGCAGCAAUGCGCUUUAGGAGGGGCCUGCGUCUGAUUAGCUUGUUGGUAGGGUAAUGGCCUACCAAGGCUGCGAUCAGUAGCUGGUUCGAGAGGAUGACCAGCCACACUGGGACUGAGAUACGGCCCAGACUCCUACGGGAGGCAGCAGUGAGGAAUCUUCCACAAUGGACGAAAGUCUGAUGGAGCAACGCCGCGUGCAGGAAGACGGCCUUCGGGUUGUAAACUGCUUUUAUUUGGGAAGAUUAUGACGGUACCAAAUGAAUAAGGACCGGCUAACUACGUGCCAGCAGCCGCGGUAAUACGUAGGGUCCAAGCGUUAUCCGGAAUUACUGGGCGUAAAGCGUGCGUAGGCGGCGCGUUAAGUGAGAUGCGAAAUCCUGUGGCUCAACCAUAUGGACUGUGUCUCAUACUGACGUGCUUGAGGAUGGCAGAGGCAAGUGGAAUUACCGGUGUAGCAGUGAAAUGCGUAGAUAUCGGUAGGAACACCAAUGGCGAAGGCAGCUUGCUGGGCCACACCUGACGCUGAGGUACGAAAGCGUGGGGAGCGAACAGGAUUAGAUACCCUGGUAGUCCACGCCGUAAACGAUGGAUGCUAGUAGUGUGGAGUAUCGACCCUCUGCGUUGCGAAGCUAACGCGUUAAGCAUCCCGCCUGGGGAGUACGGCCGCAAGGCUAAAACUCAAAGGAAUUGACGGGGACCCGCACAAGCAGUGGAGCAUGUGGUUUAAUUCGAUGCUACGCGAAGAACCUUACCAAGGUUUGACAUCCUAGGAAUCCGCUAGAAAUAGUGGAGUGCCUUCGGGAACCUAGUGACAGGUGUUGCAUGGCCGUCGUCAGCUCGUGUCGUGAGAUGUUGGGUUAAGUCCCGCAACGAGCGCAACCCUUGUCGUCUGUUGUAUUUUUCAGACGAGACUGCCCGAGCCAAUCGGGAGGAAGGUGGGGAUGACGUCAGGUCAGCAUGACCCUUACACCUUGGGCUACACACGUGCUACAAUGGCCGGCACAACGGGCCGCGAAGCCGCGAGGCGGAGCUAAUCCCAUUCAAAACCGGUCUCAGUUCGGAUUGGAGGCUGCAACUCGCCUCCAUGAAGCUGGAAUUGCUAGUAACCGUAGGUCAGCAUACUACGGUGAAUACGUUCCCGGGUCUUGUACACACCGCCCGUCACACCACGGAAGUCGCCAACACCCGAAGUGCCUACUUGUUAGGUCCUAAGGUGGGGGUGGUAACUGGGGUG